rnacentral:rRNA from 1 species
GUUUGUAUCCUGGCUCAGAUUGAACGCUGGCGGCAGGCCUAACACAUGCAAGUCGAACGGAAACACAAGAAGCUUGCUCCUCGGGUGACGAGUGGCGGACGGGUGAGUAAUGUCUGGGAAACUGCCUGAUGGAGGGGGAUAACUACUGGAAACGGUAGCUAAUACCGCAUAACGUCGCAAGACCAAAGAGGGGGACCUUCGGGCCUCUUGCCAUCAGAUGUGCCCAGAUGGGAUUAGCUAGUAGGUGGGGUAACGGCUCACCUAGGCAACGAUCCCUAGCUGGUCUGAGAGGAUGACCAGCCACACUGGAACUGAGACACGGUCCAAACUCCUACGGGAGGCAGCAGUGGGGAAUAUUGCACAAUGGGCGCAAGCCUGAUGCAGCCAUGCCGCGUGUAUGAGGAAGGCCUUCGGGUUGUAAAGUACUUUCGGCGGGGAGGAAGGUGUUGAGGUUAAUAACCACGGCAAUUGACGUUACCCGCAGAAGAAGCACCGGCUAACUCCGUGCCAGCAGCCGCGGUAAUACGGAGGGUGCAAGCGUUAAUCGGAAUUACUGGGCGUAAAGCGCACGCAGGCGGGCUGUCAAGUCGGAGUUUAAAUCCCCGGGCUCAACCUGGGAACUGCAUUCGAAUCUGGAAGGCUAGAGACCUCGCGAGAGCAAGCGGAUUCCAGGUGUAGCGGUAAAGUGCGUCGUAGUCCGGAUUGGAGUCUGCGGCGAACUCGACUCCAUGAAGUCGGAAUGACGCUCAGGUGCGAAAGCGCGGAGCAAACAGGAUAAUACGUUCCCGGGCCUUGUACACCACCGCCCGUCACACUGGGGGAGUGGGUUGCUUAAGGCGUAGUGUACGGAGCUAACGCGUUAAAUAGACCGCCCUGGGGAGUACGGCCGCAAGGUUAAAACUCAAAUGAAUUGACGGGGGCCCGCACAAGCGGUGGAGCAUGUGGUUUAAUUCGAUGCAACGCGAAGAACCUUACCUGGUCUUGACAUCCACAGAACUUAGCAGAGAUGCUUUGGUGCCUUCGGGAACUGUGAGACAGGUGCUGCAUGGCUGUCGUCAGCUCGUGUUGUGAAAUGUUGGGUUAAGUCCCGCAACGAGCGCAACCCUUAUCCUUUGUUGCCAGCGGUUAGGCCGGGAACUCAAAGGAGACUGCCAGUGAUAAACUGGAGGAAGGUGGGGAUGACGUCAAGUCAUCAUGGCCCUUACGACCAGGGCUACACACGUGCUACAAUGGCGCAUACAAAGAGAAGCGACCUCGCGAGAGCAAGCGGACCUCAUAAAGUGCGU